GACGAACGCUGGCGGCGUGCCUAAUACAUGCAAGUAGAACGCUGAAGGAGGAGCUUGCUUCUCUGGAUGAGUUGCGAACGGGUGAGUAACGCGUAGGUAACCUGCCUGGUAGCGGGGGAUAACUAUUGGAAACGAUAGCUAAUACCGCAUAAGAGUAGAUGUCGCAUGACAUUUGCUUAAAAGGUGCAAUUGCAUCACUACCAGAUGGACCUGCGUUGUAUUAGCUAGUUGGUGAGGUAACGGCUCACCAAGGCAACGAUACAUAGCCGACCUGAGAGGGUGAUCGGCCCAACUGGGACUGAGACACGGCCCAGACUCCUACGGGAGGCAGCAGUAGGGAAUCUUCGGCAAUGGACGGAAGUCUGACCGAGCAACGCCGCGUGAGUGAAGAAGGUUUUCGGAUCGUAAAGCUCUGUUGUAAGAGAAGAACGAGUGUGAGAGUGGAAAGUUCACACUGUGACGGUAUCUUACCAGAAAGGGACGGCUAACUACGUG
rnacentral:rRNA from 1 species